UACACAGGUAAACCAGGAAGGCCC
rnacentral:piRNA from 1 species